UACGUAGGUGGCAAGCGUUGUCCGGAUUUAUUGGGUUUAAAGGGUGCGUAGGCGGCCCUGUAAGUCAGUGCUGAAAUAUCCCGGCUUAACCGGGAGGGUGGGAUUGAUACUGAUGGGCUUGAGUGGAGUCGAGGUAGGCGGAAUUGACGGUGUAGCGGUGAAAUGCUUAGAUAUCGUAAGGAAGACCAGUGGCGAAGGCGGAUCUCUGGACAGUUACUGACACUGAGGCACGAAGGCCAGGGGAGCAAACGGG
rnacentral:rRNA from 1 species